AUUGAACGCUGGCGGCAGGCCUAACACAUGCAAGUCGAGCGGAUGAAGGGAGCUUGCUCCUGGAUUCAGCGGCGGACGGGUGAGUAAUGCCUAGGAAUCUGCCUGGUAGUGGGGGAUAACGUCCGGAAACGGGCGCUAAUACCGCAUACGUCCUGAGGGAGAAAGUGGGGGAUCUUCGGACCUCACGCUAUCAGAUGAGCCUAGGUCGGAUUAGCUAGUUGGUGGGGUAAAGGCCUACCAAGGCGACGAUCCGUGACUGGUCUGAGAGGAUGAUCAGUCACACUGGAACUGAGACACGGUCCAGACUCCUACGGGAGGCAGCAGUGGGGAAUAUUGGACAAUGGGCGAAAGCCUGAUCCAGCCAUGCCGCGUGUGUGAAGAAGGUCUUCGGAUUGUAAAGCACUUUAAGUUGGGAGGAAGGGCAGUAAGUUAAUACCUUGCUGUUUUGACGCUACCAACAGAAUAAGCACCGGCUAACUUCGUG
rnacentral:rRNA from 1 species